rnacentral:rRNA from 1 species
AAAGGAAUAGACGGGGGCCCGCACAAGCGGAGGAGCAUGUGGUUUAAUUCGAUGAUACGCGAGGAACCUUACCUGGGCUCGAACGUAGAGCGACGUAUACUGAAAGGUAUAUUUCCUUCGGGACGAUCUACGAGGUGCUGCAUGGUUGUCGUCAGCUCGUGCCGUGAGGUGUUAGGUUAAGUCCUGCAACGAGCGCAACCCUUAUCUUUAGUUGCCAGCAUGUAACGAUGGGGACUCUAAAGAAACUGCCGGCGCAAGCCGUGAGGAAGGUGGGGAUGACGUCAAAUCAGCACGGCCCUUAUGUCCAGGGCGACACACGUGCUACAAUGGUCGAUACAAAGGGCAGCUACUUGGUGACAAGAUGCUAAUCUCUAAAGUCGAUCUCAGUUCGGAUCGAAGUCUGCAACUCGACUUCGUGAAGUCGGAUUCGCUAGUAAUCGCGCAUCAGCCACGGCGCGGUGAAUACGUUCCCGGGCCUUGUACACACCGCCCGU